GCUGUGGUAGUUAAACGGUCACCACGGUGGGUUUCAGACCCUUUUGUCCCGGAUUCGAAUCCUGUCACCACUGCG
rnacentral:tRNA from 1 species